CUGGAGGACCAAAUGCCCCAGAGGCAGAUGCUGUGCCUCUUGUAGAGGGACCAGGAAGACCUGGGGGACCAGGAGGACCUGGUGGGCCAGGAAGUCCCUGCAACAAGAGAAGAGAAGUUAUUCCAGAUCAGGAAAUCCAGAGCCCUCCAUGUCCACAAAAGUCUGAAACACAUCAACUGGAAUCAGUUGGAUUCAACAAAUGAUUCACACAGAGGGAGUCUGGUGCUGAUACAUCUUUACUUCCACUGUUCAGCAUCUGACUGAGGCUAACGUUCACUCACAGAUCUCAUGCCUGGUCCUGGGGGUCCUGGAGGUCCUGGGAGCCCCCUGGCGCCAGGUUGACCUUCUCCACGAUCUCCCUAAUCACCUGGGGUUCCUGGGAACCCUGGAGGACCAUCGGAACCCUGUGGCGAGGAAACAAGAGGUUGUCAUUGUGUUUAAAGUUUUACUGUCAUAGACUAAGCUUCUCUGAUGUUUCAUCUUAAGAUAACCUUUGACUGUUUGCACAAAUUCAA